rnacentral:rRNA from 1 species
GUGAAUCAUCGAAUCUUUGAACGCAUAUUGCGCUCUUUGGUAUUCCGAAGAGCAUGCUUGUUUGAGUAUCAGUAAACACCUCAAAACUCUUGAUCUUUUUCAAGCGUUUUGGACUUGAGCAAACCCAACGCCUUUUCUUUUAAGAUCUGUUGCGGCGGGUUGCUUGAAAUGCAGGUGCAGCUGGACAAUCUCCUGAGCUAAAAGCAUAUUUAUUUAGUCCCGUCAAACGGAUUAUUACUUUUUGCUGCAGCUAACAUAAAGGGAGUUUUGACCAUUAUGGCUGACUGAUGCAGGAUUUCACAGAGAAAAGGCCGGCAACGGUUUUGUCUCUGUCAAACUCGAUCUCAAAUCAAGUAAGACUACCCGCUGAACUUAAGCAUAUCAAUAAGCGGAGGA